rnacentral:lncRNA from 1 species
GCAUUCAUAGUGACUCCACCCCUCAUCCUGUGUUGAGACUUCAUGGUGUUGCUGAGAAAAGGGAGAAGUUUUUCUUUCCCAAGAAGAAUAAGCACAGAAGAAAGGCUGGGUUUGCUGUGCUGAAAUACUGUAAGGUGGAUUAAAAAUGCAAAAUUAGUUGCCUUUGUCGAGAGUGUCCUUCGGAUAAAUGUAGUACUGGAGAUUUCAUUGUCAGUCACUUUGACAGACAGCACUUGUGGCAAGUGUUGUCUGACUUAACUACUUCAACAAACCAGAAAACAGG